rnacentral:rRNA from 1 species
CGAGAAAGCCCGCAAGGGUGAGUAAAGCGGCGCACGGGUGCGUAACACGUGGGUAAUCUGCCCUAGAGUCCGGAAUAACUCGCCGAAAGGCGUGCUAAUGCCGGAUGAGACCACGGGAGCCUCGGCUCCUGCGGGAAAAGGUGGCCUCUGUAUACAAGCUAUCGCUCUAGGAUGAGCCCGCGGCCCAUCAACUCGUUGGCGGGGUAAUGGCCCACCAAGGCUACGACGGGUAGCUGGUCUGAGAGGACGAUCAGCCACACUGGAACUGAGACACGGUCCAGACUCCUACGGGAGGCAGCAGUGGGGAAUCUUGCGCAAUGGGCGAAAGCCUGACGCAGCAACGCCGCGUGUGUGAUGAAGGUCUUCGGAUCGUAAAGCACUGUCGCGAGGGACG